UAGGGAAUCUUCCGCAAUGGACGAAAGUCUGACGGAGCAACGCCGCGUGAGCGAAGAAGGCCUUCGGGUCGUAAAGCUCUGUUGUUAGGGAAGAACAAGUACGAGAGUAACUGCUCGUACCUUGACGGUACCUAACCAGAAAGCCACGGCUAACUACGUGCCAGCAGCCGCGGUAAUACGUAGGUGGCAAGCGUUGUCCGGAAUUAUUGGGCGUAAAGCGCGCGCAGGCGGUCCUUUAAGUCUGAUGUGAAAGCCCACGGCUCAACCGUGGAGGGUCAUUGGAAACUGGGGGACUUGAGUGCAGAAGAGGAGAGUGGAAUUCCACGUGUAGCGGUGAAAUGCGUAGAGAUGUGGAGGAACACCAGUGGCGAAGGCGACUCUCUGGUCUGUAACUGACGCUGAGGCGCGAAAGCGUGGGGAGCAAACAGGAUUAGAUACCCUGGUAGUCCACGCCGUAAACGAUGAGUGCUAAGUGUUAGAGGGUUUCCGCCCUUUAG
rnacentral:rRNA from 1 species